rnacentral:rRNA from 1 species
CCUACGGGCGGCAGCAGUAGGGAAUAUUGCUCAAUGGGGGAAACCCUGAAGCAGCAACGCCGCGUGGAGGAUGAAGGUUUUCGGAUUGUAAACUCCUUUUGUUAGAGAAGAUAAUGACGGUAUCUAACGAAUAAGCACCGGCUAACUCCGUGCCAGCAGCCGCGGUAAUACGGAGGGUGCAAGCGUUACGCGGAAUCACUGGGCGGAAAGAGCGCGUAGGCGGGAUAGCAAGUCAGAUGUGAAAUCCUAUGGCUUAACCAUAGAACUGCAUUUGAAACUGUUAUUCUAGAGUAUGGGAGAGGUAGGUGGAAUUCUGGGUGUAGGGGUAAAAUCCGUAGAGAUCAAGAGGAAUACUCAUUGCGAAGGCGACCUGCUAGAACAUAACUGACGCUGAUGCGCGAAAGCGUGGGGAGCAAACAGGAUUAGAUACCCCUGUAGUC